rnacentral:sRNA from 1 species
AAAACUAAACUUCUAAGAAAAAAAUACGGAAGUAAAUGUAUUAGUUUUACCCAAUAAAAGGCUAUGUAUUAAAUAAGUUGAUGGAUUUUUUUAAAUGCACUAUUUGUAUUCUCAUGUGAAAAGGACUACUUAGAUAUUAAGUAUAUACUGUCCUGAGACUGGUGUGAUUUUAGAAAACUAGGUAGCCACUUACUAAUUUUAUUUUGUUAGCUCUUAUAAAUAGUUGUGAAAUAUAACAGUAUUAUGUAAAUAGAAGACUAAAGAAAAUAUUUAUUAAGCAUAACUUACAUGUGAAUUAUGAGGUUGGGGUAGAAAACCAAGAAUGGGAAUUUUUUAAGCAGGGAAAAAGAGAUGGAUCAAUGUCAGAACAUUUUAAGGUUUUGCUGAAAUCUUCAAAUCAAUGAACGACACAAUUAAAUGUGAGUAUUAUAGCAAAUGUGUCCAUGAAUGAUUCUCCUGGGUUAGUCAAAAACACAAUAAUUCCAUGUGACUUUUUCUUAAUGAAAUAUCCAAGGAAUUUAACAUUCUUUCAGGAGAACUUCUUUCAGAUCACUGAUGUCUCUAAGAGUGCCCGGCUGCUUUAGUGGGAGCUACUCUGAUUUUUCAUUACCUUAAGCCACUGAUAAGAAAGGGGCUUUCAACAGGACAACAUCCCAGAAUGCCAUUUUUUAGAAAGGAGAAUGCCUUCAUGGCACUUAGGGUGUGCUAUCCAUCUGUUCCAAAUGCAAACAAUGACAACUAUUUGCUUUUCUGGAGGGUAGAGCUCCUUAUAUCAUAGUAAAAGGUUACCUCAGUGAUCAAUGCUCUAGAACACUCCUCCUCAAUGGAGAUGACAUACACAAGAUUCUAGAAAUGAAAGUCAACACCCUUAGGAGUGUGUUGCCUUCCGCAGGUGCUCCAACACUGAGAGGAGAGAAGGCAUUGGAAUCAAAACCUUGCUGAGAAGCUGUGCACUACAGCCAAAGCAGUGGCGUCCAGGAGACAAGGUCUCAUAGUGUAUUCACAUUCAAUACCCACUGCACACGAUCCAAUUAGUUUCACAAGCAUUAAGUGAGAUGUAUUUCUUAAUGAAGCCUUUAAGCAAGGUUGGCCGUAUGUAUCCUAGAAGAGAGAUAAGCACGACUCUGCUGCUCUGAUGCGCCAUGGUGGAACGGCUUUCUGGGGUCAGCUACAUCCGCAUCAUUAGACAAUAGAUGGUGGAGAUUAUUGUUCCAGAUGUUCCAGAUUCUGUUUUCACAGAAUUACUGGAUUCUGUGAAAGCCAGUUUACAACCAGGAAAAUAAUAAACCUGAUUAACUAGCUUCAGAAAUUUUUAAUCCUAAUAAUUAUUGGUUUAUGC